rnacentral:rRNA from 1 species
GACGAACGCUGGCGGCGUGCUUAACACAUGCAAGUCGAACGCGCCUGUCCUCUGGGUUUCUGGGGGGUGGGUGAGUGGCGAACGGGUGAGUAACACGUGAGUAACCUGCCCCCUUCUUCGGGAUAACGGUCUGAAAGGGCUGCUAAUACCGGGUAUUCACUGGUCUCCGCAUGGGGUCUGGUGGAAAGGUUUUUUUCUGGUGGGGGAUGGGCUCGCGGCCUAUCAGCUUGUUGGUGGGGUGAUGGCCCACCAAGGCUUUGACGGGUAGCCGGCCUGAGAGGGUGACCGGUCACAGUGGGACGGAGAUGCGGCCCAGACUCCGACGGGAGGCAGCAGUGGGGAAUAUUGCACAAUGGGCGCAAGCCUGAUGCAGCGACGCCGCGUGAGGGAUGGAGGCCUUCGGGUUGUGAACCUCUUUCGCCCGUGGUCAAGCCGCGACGUGGGUCGUGGUGAGGGUAGUGGGUAAAGAAGCGCCGGCUAACUACGUG